rnacentral:rRNA from 1 species
CUGCGAGACCUACAAGUCGAGCAGGGUCGAAAGACGGACUUAGUGAUCCGGUGGUUCCGCAUGGAAGGGCCAUCGCUCAACGGAUAAAAGCUACCCCGGGGAUAACAGGCUUAUCUCCCCCAAGAGUUCACAUCGACGGGGAGGUUUGGCACCUCGAUGUCGGCUCGUCGCAUCCUGGGGCUGUAGUCGGUCCCAAGGGUUGGGCUGUUCGCCCAUUAAAGCGGUACGCGAGCUGGGUUUAGAACGUCGUGAGACAGUUCGGUCCCUAUCCGUCGUGGGCGUUGGAAGUUUGAGAGGAGCUGUCCUUAGUACGAGAGGACCGGGAUGGACACACCGCUGGUGUACCAGUUGUUCCGCCAGGAGCAUAGCUGGGUAGCUACGUGUGGCAGGGAUAAGUGCUGAAAGCAUCUAAGCAUGAAGCCCCCCUCAAGAUGAGACUUCCCAUCACUUC